UGCUGUGAAAACUGGGGGCUCAACCCCCAGCCUGCAGUGGGUACGGGCAGACUAGAGUGCGGUAGGGGAGAUUGGAAUUCCUGGUGUAGCGGUGGAAUGCGCAGAUAUCAGGAGGAACACCGAUGGCGAAGGCAGAUCUCUGGGCCGUAACUGACGCUGAGGAGCGAAAGGGUGGGGAGCAAACAGGCUUAGAUACCCUGGUAGUCCACCCCGUAAACGUUGGGAACUAGUUGUGGGGUCCAUUCCACGGAUUCCGUGACGCAGCUAACGCAUUAAGUUCCCCGCCUGGGGAGUACGGCCGCAAGGCUAAAACUCAAAGGAAUUGACGGGGACCCGCACAAGCGGCGGAGCAUGCGGAUUAAUUCGAUGCGACGCGAAGAACCUUACCAAGGCUUGACAUAUACGAGAACGCUGCAGAAAUGUAGAACUCUUUGGACACUCGUAAACAGGUGGUGCAUGGUUGUCGUCAGCUCGUGUCGUGAGAUGUUGGGUUAAGUCCCGCAACGAGCGCAACCCUCGUUCUAUGUUGCCAGCACGUAAUGGUGGGAACUCAUGGGAUACUGCCGGGGUCAACUCGGAGGAAGGUGGGGAUGACGUCAAAUCAUCAUGCCCCUUAUGUCUUGGGCUUCACGCAUGCUACAAUGGCCGGUACAAAGGGCUGCAAUACCGUAAGGUGGAGCGAAUCCCAAAAAGCCGGUCCCAGUUCGGAUUGAGGUCUGCAACUCGACCUCAUGAAGUCGGAGUCGCUAGUAAUCGCAGAUCAGCAACGCUGCGGUGAAUACGUUCCCGGGUCUUGUACACACCGCCCGUCAAGUCAUGAAAGUCGGUAACACCUGAAGCCGGUGGCCCAACCCUUGUGGAGGGAGCCUCGAAGGUGAUC
rnacentral:rRNA from 1 species